rnacentral:tRNA from 1 species
GGGUGUGUAGCUCAGUGGUAGAGUACUGGCCUAGUAUGCAUGAGACACUGGGUUUGACCCCACCCCACCCA